CAUAAUUUAUAAUAAACUCGUUUAUUAACAUAAAAACCUUUACUGUCCACUUAUCUCGGUGAGAUCUAUAAAACAACAUAUGAAAGCAAUAAUAUUAUCAUCAUCAUGCGAUCAUAUGAACUGUAUAACAUAAUACUUACCACACCCUUGCAUUUCAAUCAUUAAACAACACAUUUUCCUCAUUUACCAGCCUACUAGUAUCCAUGGAGAUCCAUAGGGGUCCCACUACCCGUGAACCCUUAACAUUUAUAACCUAAUUCCAGAGCGGUCCCCAUACCCCGUCCGGUAUGGGCACCAAAACCGUGAACCUCAAUACCCCGUCCGGUAUGAGGGUGAAACAGGCCGUCCCCAUACCCCGUCCGGUAUGGGCGCCAAAACACAUAAGGUCUCCAUACCCCGUUCGGUAUGAGAGACCACGUUCCCGGUAGGGUUCCCUACGGACCUGGUCCGUCCACCAUCUCCCAGGAUAUCUAGUCAGG
rnacentral:lncRNA from 1 species